UACGUAGGGGGCAAGCGUUGUCCGGAAUCAUUGGGCGUAAAGCGCGUGUAGGCGGCCAGAAAAGUCCGCUGUGAAAACUCGAGGCUCAACUUCGAGCUGUCGGUGGAAACUUUCUGGCUAGAGUCCGGAAGAGGAGAAUGGAAUUCCUGGUGUAGCAGUGAAAUGCGUAGAUAUCAGGAGGAACACCGAUGGCGAAGGCAGGUCUCUGGGCUGACACUGACGCUCAUGCACGAAAGCGUGGGGAGCAAACAGG
rnacentral:rRNA from 1 species